GAUGAACGCUGGCGGCGUGCCUAAUACAUGCAAGUCGAGCGAAUGGAUUAAGAGCUUGCUCUUAUGAAGUUAGCGGCGGACGGGUGAGUAACACGUGGGUAACCUGCCCAUAAGACUAGGAUAACUCCGGGAAACCGGGGCUAAUACCGGAUAACAUUUUGAACCGCAUGGUUCGAAAUUGAAAGGCGGCUUCGGCUGUCACUUAUGGAUGGACCCGCGUCGCAUUAGCUAGUUGGUGAGGUAACGGCUCACCAAGGCAACGAUGCGUAGCCGACCUGAGAGGGUGAUCGGCCACACUGGGACUGAGACACGGCCCAGACUCCUACGGGAGGCAGCAGUAGGGAAUCUUCCGCAAUGGACGAAAGUCUGACGGAGCAACGCCGCGUGAGUGAUGAAGGCUUUCGGGUCGUAAAACUCUGUUGUUAGGGAAGAACAAGUGCUAGUUGAAUAAGCUGGCACCUUGACGGUACCUAACCAGAAAGCCACGGCUAACUACGUGCCAGCAGCCGCUGUAA
rnacentral:rRNA from 1 species